rnacentral:tRNA from 1 species
AUCAGUAGCUCAGUUGGAUAGAGCAACGGCCUUCUAAGCCGUGGGUCGGGGGUUCGAAUCCCUCCUGAU